rnacentral:misc_RNA from 1 species
UCCGGUUUGGCACCGGCAGUCUCUCUAGAGUCCCCGCCAUGACGCGCUGGUAACUAGAGACGGGGGUUGCGCUCGUUGCGGGACUUAACCCAACAUCUCACGACACGAGCUGACGACAGCCAUGCAGCACCUGUGCACGAGUCCCGAAGGAGGCCCUCCGUUUCGGGAGGGUUUCCCGUGCAUGUCAAGCCUAGGUAAGGUUCUUCGCGUUGCGUCGAAUUAAACCACAUGCUCCACCGCUUGUGCGGGCCCCCGUCAAUUCCUUUGAGUUUCAGCCUUGCGGCCGUACUCCCCAGGCGGGGCACUUAAUGCGUUAGCGCCGGCACUCAGGGGGUCGCUCCCCCAAGCACCUAGUGCCCAUCGUUUACGGCGUGGACUAC